GGCCCCUCAGGGGGAAGGGGCGGGGAGAUCCCAGCUACUAGAGGACGCCCCUUCCAAUGGCAACUCUGCCAAGGCGCCUAUGACAGCCUGUUGGCUUUUACCUGGUCUGCGAGAAAUCAAACUUUGGGCACAAGUCAUGAAGCCGACAAGCCCGGGAGACACAGUGUCAGAAUUACAAGGAACCCUACAAGGCCUGUUAGAGAAGAAGGGGUAGAAUCCCGAGAAUGUUUUCCCCACAGUGCUGAUAAGGAGAGACCACUACCCCAUCUACUGCUACAACUCUGGAGACAUAGCUCUGCCAUCUCUCCUAUAGAACACAAGGACCAAUCUGCAGAGAAAGAGCAUCCAAACCUGAUCCAGUGGACACUGGGGAAAAACUCACCACAGCUGAGUGUGGAAAAACAAGGCCAACACACACAUCUCUGCACAGAUACAUCUCCCAUAAAGAAACUAAAGUGUUAAUUUACAGGGCGCUGUUGCAGACCCACUUCAACUGGAAGCUACGAACGUGGACAAGGAGCCUCUCUACCACCGAAGGAGAGACAGGAAUGUGCUCUUGUCCUGGCAUUGCAUCUACAGGAGGGGCAGGAAACUCUUUGAAGUAUCCUCAGGGGAAAGAGAACUGAGAGCUUCCUCGACCUCCUCAGAGGACAGGAAAGAGGGAUCAGUCUCCAUGUUGUCCUCCUGAGUCUGUAAGGAGUCUAAGACAGAGCGAACUGAAACCCAGAUUGACCAAAUGCUGCCAUCGGACUUACAGCCAAGACCUUCCUUCUCUUCCACAUCUUCACAGUCCUUCCAGAUCACAAGCCUAAGUCCACUGACCACAUCACCUGUCACCUGGACCUUGCACACUUAGUGAUGCUCCUCACUGUGGUCUUCUUAGCAUCUCCAGACCUGUUUGAGUAACUACAUUUGCAGAAUAACUUCAAGUGCAAGGCAUUUUUCUACAUGUACAGGGUGAUGAGGAGCCUCUCCAGCUCCAUCACCUUUCUCCUGACUGUGCUCCAGGUCAUCACCAUCAGCCCCAGCACCUCCUGGUUGGUGAAGAUUAAACAGAAAUUCACAGGUUACAUUUUCCACUCCCGUUUCUUCCCAUGGGUUCUCAGUUUGUCUCUCAGUAACCUGCUUUCCUCCACUGUGGCUUCUUCUAAAGUGACCAAGACUGAUGUGCUAAGUAUCAGUAAAUACUGCUCACUUUCUUAUGUAAGCUACAUCUUCUAAUAUGACCAAGACCGAUGUGCUAAGUUGUGCUUUAUUUCUUGUCAUUCUAUUAUUCCUAUACAUAUAAUUACAUUCAUAUUGCUAUUACUUUCUCUUUUUUAUAUGGUUGUAUUCAUUCUGCUGAAAACUCCAGUUCCCAAAUCCAGUUCACUAAUUCUGUCGUCAACUCAGUCUAAUUUUAUAUUUAACUCACAUAUUGUAUAUUAAAUUUAUUUACUUUUAAAUUA